GGCAGACACACCCUCCAUCUGGGUGGGCACCAUCUAUCUAAUCAGCUGCCAGCAUGGCUAGGAUAAAAGCAGGCAAAAGAACACAGAAGGACUAGACUGGUUUAGUCUUCCAGCCUGCAUCUUUCUCCCAUGCUCAAUGCUUCCUGCCCUCAAAUAUUGGACUCCAAGUUCUUCAGCUUUUGGACUCUUGGACCUUCGACCACAGACUGAAGCCUGCACUGUUGGCUUCCCUACUUUUGAGGUUUUGGGACUGGAAGUGGCUUCCUUUCUCCUCAGCUUGCAGACAGACUACUGUGGGACUUAACCUUGUGAUCGUUUCCCCUGUCUCGAUAAAUUGGCUCUCUCUGUGCAGCAGACUUUUGCAUUCAGGCAGACCAACAGACACCACCCCGACCUGAACCUGAGACUCGUGCCAAACAGCUGACUCAACAGGGCCUGUGACCCCCCCACCCAGAAGCUGACUCAAUGCAUGAAGACAAUUCCAACACUCCUAUGAUUUCAUCCCCCAUCCAGUUUGCAGCAUCCCUUCCCUAGCCACCUGCCCACCAAAAAACCCUAGCCUCCAAGCUCCUGGGGAGGUGAAUUUGAGAACUAUCUCCCAUCAUGCUUCUGGGCUGCCUUGUGAUAAUUAAAUCUUUUCUCUGCUGCAACACGCCUGCUGUCUCAGUGUAUUGGCUUUAUCUGUGCAGCAGGCAAGAAGAACCCACUGUACUAUGGCAACCAUGAAGUGAGGGUGUGGGGGGCCCUGUAGCACCAAGCUUGAAUCCUGUAGUCUUUCUGGAUUGUGAGGAGGCACAGAGACUCCCAGGGGAGGAGCUGCACAGCUGGAAUGGCAAGGUCACCAGCCAAGCAGAAGGGACAUUGGAUGAAUCAAGACCCACAAUAGCUGUAAACCACUAGUUUGCCAACCCUGGCACAUACCAACUUGACAUAAAUUCUGCCAAUGACCAAAAAUAAUUGAAAAUGAGGUUAAAGCUUAUUAAAUCUUAAAAAAAAAAAGAAAAAAAGAAAAAAAACCCGGGGAAUGACUUGCUAAAAUGUAGUGUCCAGGGCAACACCCUCAAAGGAUACUGUAACUCUGGGUGAUUAUUUCCAUUCCCGAACACCUAAAGCAAAGAAAUCUACACUUUAACAAGCCCUCAGAGGGAUUCUGAUGUAAACUGAAAUUUUAAGAGCCAUGGCUUUGGUACUUUCACGUGUGUCUCAACUGAUUUGUAAACUCUUUCAGUGCAAGAAUCGCUUUUUAAUGCUUGGAAGCUAGCCCCAUGCUGGGCACAUAAUUAGAGUUUUCAGUUUUUAGUGUCAGGAGCUGGGGAUUAUUCCAGUUCUGGGGCUGUCUUGGAUGUGGGUUUUAGUCUCCUGUAUAAUCUUCAUCAGCCAUCUCCAUUCUCAGUCUUACCUUCAGUGCUGCAGUAAAGUCCUCACAAAUGAAGCUUCCAGGUAAGACCCCCGACCUCUCUUUCAACAGAAAUGCUGCUCCUAAUCCCAUCCUAUAUGGUAAUUCUGGAGUAGUCACUGCCUGGACAUGGAGAUUAAUAAACCUGAUUUCUGUUUUCAAGGGACAUCAAGUCUAAGAGAUGAGAGGGAUAGGUACAUAAACAAUUACACCAUAAUCUAAGCAUAUAAGAAAUAUAGAAACACUGGCAGAGUCGGGAAACUUAAUAUCUGGGCUGAGUUUAAAAAGAAUGAAUAGUAAUUAAUUCAACCAGGCAGUGAAGAGCAAGCCUAGUGAGGGAACUGCAUGGGCAAAGGAUGGGAGUGUCAGUCAAUGUGGUUUAUGGGCAGGAGAUGGAUGAGAGAGAGUGCUGGGAACAAGGCUUCCUCUUGGCUCUGGGUAUUCCAGUGGGGAAAUGCAGAUGCUAUGGGUAAAUUUGUGAAAAUAGACUCUUGAGGCCAUCCAUAUGCUUGUCUCUGUUUGCUCAGAAAAAGUUGAUUCUUGAUGGAAAGGCCACAGCCUCUCUUGCUUUCUCAACCACAGCAGCUUCCUAAAGCCUCCUGGGCUGCAGCCUGGAUGUCCUGGCUCUGUCUCCAUGUUGAUUCUAAGGCAGUAACCUUCAAAGGGUUUUGACUGCCACCCCCCAUAAGAAAUGCACUUUAUGCUGCGAUCAACACAUAUAUACACAAAAUAUAAAAUUGAAACACAAUUUCCAUGAAAUAAUGCCUCCAUUAUCACCUGUCACCCAUUUUGAUGUUUUGUUUUUCUAUUCUAAUCCACUUAAAAAAGAAAAGAAAGGUUGGGUGGGAUCCACUACGUUGAUCUCAAGAUCCAGUGAGUCACCACUCACAGCUUGAGAAACCCUAUUCUGGGACUCAGAUGCUAGUUUGGAGGUGUCAAGAAGCAGCACACUCCAGUGGCUAAGAAUAUGGACUCUGGGAGCAAACCGCCCAAUUCAAGUCCCUGUUCUCCCAUUUACUCCCUGUGUGACCUUGCCAAGUUACUUACCCUUUCUAGACCUCAAUUCUUUUGUCUACAAAAUGGGAUGAUAAGAGUACCUACCUCCUACAGGUGGUGUGAAGAUAAGUGAGAUAAUAUAGAUGUAAAAGUACAGAAAAGUGUAGGACAUCUAGUAAGUGCUGCCUAAGUUAGCUGCUG
rnacentral:lncRNA from 10 species